GACGAACGCUGGCGGCGUGCCUAAUACAUGCAAGUAGAACGCCGUUGCGAACGGGUGAGUAACGCGUAGGUAACUGCCUUAUAGCGGGGGAUAACUAUUGGAAACGAUAGCUAAUACCCCAUACUGUGAGAUGGACCUGCGUUGUAUUAGCUAGGUGGUGAGGUAACGGCUCACCAAGGCGACGGUACAUAGCCGAGCUGAGAGGGUGGUCGGGCACACUGGGACUGGGACGCGGUCCAGAUCCCUAGGGAGGCAACAAGAGGGAAUCAUUGGAAAAGGACGGAAGUCUGAAGACACAACGCCGGGUGAGUGAAGGAGGUUUUCGGGUCGUAAAACUAUGUUGGUAGAGGAGCGGUAACUAACGAGAAAGGGACGGCUAACUACGUGCCAGCAGCCGCGGUAAUUC
rnacentral:rRNA from 1 species